rnacentral:lncRNA from 1 species
CAGACUAUGCACAAACUAGGUAACUGAUGAUGCGUAGUUGCUUUUUGUUUGACGAUUUGACAAAUUUGCUGAUUAAGGAAUUAAACGAGUGACCAGGUUCACACCAGAUCGUUUUCAUACAAGUCAACUCUCAUAGCUAUCCAUAGCUGUAAAGUUGCUGCCAACUGUGACAGAUUAGCUGCAGAAAGUUGUUGUGGUCCCUUCAUUGAACUAAGUGUUCAUAUUGUUCGUCCAUAGUCAACCUCAUCGUAUCAACAACCCAUUCAACUAUGCAUUACACUAGACCG